rnacentral:lncRNA from 1 species
AACUAAAUGGACAGAUUGCAAGGAAAACAGAUUGUAAUAGAAACAGAUUGUAACACAAAGUUGUGAAUAAUCAAUGGAUGAUGGAAUGGCUAAGGGGUUCUUCUCCACACAUGAAAUAUAUGCAACCUAAAUCAAUUUUCAGUUAUCAAUUUAAUAAGUUAUGAAUCUCGACACUCCAAGUUAAUUAGGUCCGCUUAAAUUAACCUUCAGAUUUCCCUAUAAUCAUUGAAUUGGAUGAAUAUGCAUCGCAAACAAAUUAUUCCCAACAAGUUCUUUAUAUGAACAGCAUGAUAAAGACACAAGUUAGAAUCAUUACGUUCUUUGGAAAUCAUAAGCAU